GAUGAAGAACGCAGCGAAAUGCGAUACUUGGUGUGAAUUGCAGAAUCCCGUGAACCAUCGAGUCUUUGAACGCAAGUUGCGCCCGAAGCCAUUAGGCCGAGGGCACGCCUGCCUGGGCGUCACACGUCGUUGCCCCCCCAUCUACUCCUUCGGGAUUGCGGGGGGCGGAUGAUGGCCUCCCGUGCGCCUCGCCGCGCGGUUGGCAUAAAUACCAAGUCCUCGGCGACGCACGCCACGACAAUCGGUGGUUGCGAAACCUCGGUUGCCCGUCGUGUGCGGUCGUCGCGCAUCGAGGGCUCGAAAAAAUUGCCGGGUUCCGGCUCGGCUUUCAACGCGACCCCAGGUCAGGCGGGGUUACCCGCUGAAUUUAAGCAUAUCAAUAAGCGGAGGA
rnacentral:misc_RNA from 1 species